GGUACUUAAGCGGAAUAAAUGUUCAUUCUCGAUAGCAUAUGGAAACAAAGCACGAUUUUGGAGAAAGUUUAUUUCAAAUGGAGAAAUUGAAUCAUUUGUGGGUAUUUACACCCACCCACUAUCCGCGAGUCUCGCCGAAAAAAUGAAGCUUGAGAUUCAUCUCCACCGUCAUUGUCUGGCCUUCGAACUCAUAUCCACCGUCGCCGUUCUUACUAAAGGUAAAUUAUGCUUCCACUCGUCUCUCCUCCUCCUUUCCAUUUUUUCCGUUCAAUUACUAUAUUCCCCUUGUUUCAGUCUCUCAAUUUUACAUGAAUAUGUUUGAAUUAUCGAAUUAUUUCUCUCUUGUUGUCCCCUCUCCUCUCUCCCGCUGAAACUGUAAAACCCUAAUUAUCAAUUUCAAAUUUUCGCUUAAAAACCUUAAAAAUCCUUCGAAUUUGAGGUCAGGUAAUUUCGUGUGUCUAAUUUAUUAUGAAAAUUUGAUUUUUAGGUCAGGUGCUUGGAAGAAAGAGGACCUCAAAUUUGAGAGAAACACGAGUUUUAUUCCAAUAAGACAUACUUUUACUUGCUAAAACAUGAGUUUUACUUUAAUUGUCUAUUUAUAUUUUCUGGGUUUUGUUUAAAAUGAGUGCAGAAAUCAGGGAGGUUGUUGCAACAUCAAGUGCUAUAAUAUAAUUCAGAAGCGUGGAACAGGCUUGUCAACUCCCCUGAACACAUCUUCUACGCGGCAAAUGAAAUCUGCAGAAGUUCUGGCUGAAUAUUUGAAAAAUUUCCGUGCAGACAACAUUGUGAACAAUGCUGAAUUCAUUAGAGAGAGCAUUGUUCCAGAAGCUGGGCCUUGGACUAUCUUGGGUCAGGUGUAAAUUGACUUAGGCUUAAGAGAGCCUGGGAUCCUGUUAUAACUCCAGGUGCACAAAAGCAACUCAGUUAUUACUUUCUGAAUGCAUUUGAUAAUUGGGGGGGUUUCAACACGAACCCACUAUAUGUGAUACUUCAUGAGGUGAUUUACUGCCAAGGUGUUCCAUCUCAGUGGGCUGCUCAAAGAAUAAGGGAGGCCAACGGAAGCAAGUUUGACGCAAUCAAAGCAGCAAAAGAAGGGCGUCCUGUAUAUUUUACGGGAGAGGUUUGCACAUCACUGAGUGGAGAUCCUUUCACCGAUGAGAAAUUUGAUGAAAUACGAGACAAAUGGGCAUCAUACUUCACCGAACAUUGUGUGUAAUUAACGCUUCAUCGAUUUCUUUUUGUGGAUGUUUCAUGCUAUUAAAAUCAUAUAUAAUUGCCUUAUUAUAUUUUUGGUGCAAUUUUGUAACGUAUGAAGUGUAAAAGAUAUAGUUAUUAUAGACUUGAAACUAUUAGGUGGUUUAUUUUUGUAAACAUAUGAUGUUUAACUUAUAUGUAAAAAUCAAAGUUUCUUGGAAGUUAUUGGUGGUUGAUGACAC